UCUUCCGUAGUAUAGUGGUCAGUAUGUGAGCUUGUCAUUGUCAUCCUUGACAAUAAACACGCUCGAGACCCGGGUUCAAUUCCCGGCGGGAGAG